rnacentral:rRNA from 1 species
UCCGUAGGUGAACCUGCGGAAGGAUCAUUAGUGAAUAUUAGCGCAUCUACUUGUAGAGCGUGACCUCCACUUUCUAACUCUGUGCAUUUAUUGGCGGAAGGACUUGAGCAAUCGAGUUUCCUUCUGCGGCUCAUUUUAAAACACUAGUUAAAGUAUGUAACGAAAUAUCGAAACAAAAAAAACUUUCAACAACGGAUCUCUUGGCUUGCUCAUCGAUGAAGAACGCAGCGAAAUGUGAUAAGUAAUGUGAAUUGCAGAAUUCAGUGAAUCAUCGAAUCUUUGAACGCACCUUGCGCUCUCUGGUAUUCCGGAGAGCAUGUCUGUUUGAGUGUCAUGAACUCUUCAACCCACCAGUUUCUUGUAGACUGAUUGGUGUUUGGUUUCUGAGCGUUGCUGGUCUUCGGAUCUAGCUCGGUCGUAAUAUAUUAGCAUCUCUAAUUCGAACUCGGAUUGACUCAGUGUAAUAGACUAUUCGCUGAGGACACGCUCUUGUAGUGUGGCCGAAUGAGAUCUCAGUAGAAGCUUCCAACUACUUUAGUCAACUUUAGAUUAGACCUCAGAUCAGGCAGGAUUACCCGCUGAACUUAAGCAUAUCAAUAAGCGGAGGAA